rnacentral:lncRNA from 1 species
AGUUAUUGACAAAAACGUCAUUUUUUGUACAGAUAGCCGCAGCACGCGGCGUAAGACUUCCAAAAAUCAUGAGUUCGGAUCUGGAGCAUCGUGGUAGCAUGCCGAAGAGCUUCUGCACUUAAAACUGCGAAGCGGACGCUCUUGUAGCGCAACUGUGAGAUUGGGCCCUUAGCGGGUGCCGAGUGUCGCAGGUAGCGAACCGGGCGGCUAAAAAUCCCGAGAAAUUCAUCAUAGCACCUUAGAGGACCUAUGAGGUGGGUGGUGCUAUCCAAACUCGUUGAAAUUCCUUUUAUGCCUAAUGUGUCAUUUUAUUGAGCAUAUAUAUAUAUAUAUAUAUAUAUAUAUAUAUAUAUAUAUUGAUGCAUGCAUUAUAGGGUAGAUGUGAUGAUAAUAAUGAAAUGUUGCAUGAUGUGAGUACACGUGCUUAUUAGAAUGAUUAAGAAUCUAAAUAACCCUAUGUGUAUGCAUGAGAUGUAAUGUGAGAACCCAAUGAGAUGAAAGAACAAUGUAACACAUGAGCAUAGAUCGAGUGGCACCCAAAUGUAAAGUAAAGAACACUAGAAAUUAGUGUGAGGCAAGAGAAUCAAUGUGACGUAAAGAUAAUGAUAAAAUAGCUAAAGUUAAUGCAAGAUGUGGCAUAAAGAACAAAGAGUAAAGUUAGAGUAAAGUGGGGCAAUAAGAACAAGAAAUGUAACGAACAAGAAUGCUAGAGUUUGCAAGAGUAAAGAAAUGUAAAGAAUGUGAUUGCAUGAGUUUGCAACAUAAAGUGAUGUAAAGGACACUAGAGCUAGUGUAAAGUCAAGAUUGAACUUAUAAUCCUUUGAGUUAAGGAUAUGAUCAUACUUGCUAUGAGUUCCGUGCUCGAGGGCGAUCGCUCCCCCACGGGCGAUGCGCUCCGGAGUUAUGCAUCCGGGUUGGAGUAAACCCGAAGGACGGUCCUAGCUGGUGAGUUCCUGCGAUGAUGGACUUAAUGUGAAGCAAGUUUAAUGUGGCGAAACCCCCGGGUUAGCCUUGAGAUUAAAGAAUAAAGAAUAAAGAAUAAAGAGCAAAGACAAAGAACAAAGAACAAAGUGUAAAGAUAAAGAACGAAAGAACUUGCAUAAUCUGCAUAUGUUAAUGUUGAGCAUAUUCCUUGCUUAUUGUUCAGGCAUAUUAGCAUCAUGUUGUAGAUUGGUUACUAUAUUUCAGCUUAUCCUUUCUAUUAUGCCUGAGUUAGUCCUAGUGGGAAAGUCGGUGAUGUUGGGGCCGAACCCACUGGGAACUUUGUUGUAGUUCUCACCCCACUACUCCACAGAGCCGGGACCGAGCGAGCCGGCGAGCGACCGCGGUAAAGGUAUCGCACCGUAGUCAG